rnacentral:rRNA from 1 species
GGCUCCAAUAGCGUAUAUUAAAGUUGUUGCAGUUAAAUAGCUCGUAGUUGAAUUUUGGGCCGGGUCUGGUGGUCGCCCUCUGGGUGUACUGCCGGCCUAGUCUUUCUUUCUGGGGAACUUAUGUGCACUUUAUUGUGUGUGUAAGGGAUCCAGGACUUUUACUUUGAAAAAAUUAGAGUGUUUAAAGCGGGCAUCUGCUUGAAUACAUUAGCAUGGAAUAAUAGAAUAGGACUUUGGUUCUAUUUUGUUGGUUUCUAGGGCCGAAGUAAUGAUUAAUAGGGAUGGUUGGGGGCAUUAGUAUUUAAUUGUCAGAGGUGAAAUUCUUGGAUUUAUGAAAGACUAACUUCUGCGAAAGCAUUUGCCAAGGAUGUUUUCA